rnacentral:rRNA from 1 species
GACGAACGCUGGCGGCGUGCUUAACACAUGCAAGUCGAACGGAAAGGCCCUGCUUUUGUGGGGUGCUCGAGUGGCGAACGGGUGAGUAACACGUGAGUAACCUGCCCUUGACUUUGGGAUAACUUCAGGAAACUGGGGCUAAUACCGGAUAGGAGCUCCUGCUGCAUGGAGGGGGUUGGAAAGUUUCGGCGGUUGGGGAUGGACUUGCGGGUUAUCAGCUUGUUGGUGGGGUAGUGGCUUACCAAGGCUUUGACGGGUAGCCGGCCUGAGAGGGUGACCGGCCACAUUGGGACUGAGAUACGGCCCAGACUCCUACGGGAGGCAGCAGUGGGGAAUAUUGCACAAUGGGCGGAAGCCUGAUGCAGCAACGCCGCGUGCGGGAUGACGGCCUUCGGGUUGUAAACCGCUUUCGCCUGUGACGAAGCGUGAGUGACGGUAAUGGGUAAAGAAGCACCGGCUAACUACGUG